AACAGCUAAAAGAGACAGUUUUUGGUAAACCAGCACAUUGAUCACGCUCUGAAUGGCCUUCAAUGAACUGAUUUAAAGAGCCUGUGAAACCCACCCAAGACUACAAAGCUAGUACGUAAAAUGGUUGAAAUUCAAACUCAUAUAGUCUGGGUCUAGAAGCUGAGUGUUUAGCCUCUAGGUGUAGAGGUGUCAUCAAAGGAGGGGGAAGUAGGAAAGAAGGAAGGGUCAAAAGAUGCAAUGGAGAAAGGACACAUUUCCAAGGGUCCCAUCAUAGAGUCUCUUCCUGGCUGCCUCUAGCCUCAGUUCCACAAGGUGGCAGGGCCUGCCUCCUUCUCCCCAUCCAAAUGCCUCUGGCUACAUUCAAAGCCCAGCAGGGAGCAGUCAUUGGUUUCCCCAUCACACACAGUCUCAGGCUUGCCUACCAGAGGACAUAAUAAAUAUCUCCAGAAUGCGAUUUGGGAUCUGCCUAGGAAAGUACAUUUCCUGAAAGAAGACCAAAUUUUCCUACAAAGAAGAGAAAACUCUUGGGAGAUUUAAAAUAACAAUUUGUCCAGCCUGAACUCCCCUUUUCAUGUUGGACCUGAGGAAUACUGUAAACCAGGGUCAGCAAACUUUUUCUGUAAAGAAUUAGAUAAUACAUGUUUUAGGUUUUGUGGGCCCAUUCAACCUGUCAUGACUACUCAACUCUGCCACAUAACUCUGCUAUCGUAUUGUGACAGAGUAAAUAUGUAUGGGUAUGCCCAUGGAUUCCAAUGAAGCUUUAUGGACACUGAAAUAUUAAUUUCACAGGAUUUUCAUGUGUCAGGAAAUUUUUGAUUUCUUUCAACCACUUAAAAAUGUAAAAACUAUUCUUAGCUCUCAGGCCAUACAAAAAACAA
rnacentral:lncRNA from 10 species